ensembl:lncRNA transmembrane protein 18
GCGGGGCGGGGAAGACGAAAAGGUGGUGGUGAGGAAGGGCCUUUCCGGAGGCGAUGCCGUCUGCAUUCUCAGUCAGCAAUUUCCCCGUCAGCAUCCCCGCCGUGAUCACGUGACCUUAGUCUACUGCGCGGAGUACAUCAAUGAAGUGGCGGCGGUGAACUGGAGGUUGUUCUCGAAGUACCAGUAUUUUGACUCGAGGGGCAUGUUCAUCUCCAUAGUGUUCUCGGCGCCCGUGCUACUGAACGCCCUGGCCAUCGUGGUCCUGUGGGUGUGCAAGGCCCUGACCGUGAUGACCGACCUGAGGGCCCUGCAGCAGAGGAGGAGGGCCAGGGGCAGGCCCGGGAGGAGUGACGCCUCGGAUCCGGCCUCGCGCGCUCCUGGACUGCACUUAGACCAGCCUUUAGGACAGAGUUUGCCGCACGUCCACCAGGGCACUCGCCGGGCCUGCAGGGGGUCCCGUCUCUCCAGUUAAGUUGUAAGCAAACGGAACCACGCACGUCGCCACACGUCCACGGGACUCCUGUGACUGUGUGAACUACCAGACAUCCGUCCACAUGGGGACGGUGACUGAGUGAGGGACAGUGCCAUGCACGCGUGGGCACCUCCGUCACCCCCAUCAACUCGCAUCACCUCCAUCACCCCUAUCACGCCCGUCACCUCCAUCACCCCUGUUACCUCCAUCAUCCCCUGUCACCUCCACCCCCAUCACCUCCAUCACUCCUGUCACCUCCGUCACCCCGUCACCCCUGUCAACCCCCAUCACCCCCGUCACCUCCAUCACCCCGUCACCCCUGUCACCUCCAUCACCCCUGUUACCUCCAUCACUUCCUGUCACCUCCAUCACCCCCUGUCAACCCCCAUCACCCCUGUCACCUCCUAUCACCUCUAUCACCCCUGUCACCCCCAUCACCUCCAUCACCCCCUGUCACAUCCGUCACCCUGGUCUGAUCUGCAUAGCGGUGGCCUCUCCAUGUGGUGCUGCCACAGGACAACACGAGGGGCUGCCUUUCCUUUCAUCCAGUUAGAGAUGUGACGACCCUCGGAGGCCCUGGGUCGGAAUCCACAGAAGCAGUGGCUGGAUGAGCCCCUUGAGUUGUCUUUAGGAAGGAAAGUUGCCAGUAGAAACAGUCAACAUUCACCUGUUUCAACUAACAGAUUUUUUUAUGGCAAAUACAAAGAUUGAUUGU